ACAAGACCUCUAACCUUAGACCCAUGGAAAACCCCAAGUGAUCCUCUCCAGCUAACACACACGAACAGUGAGACUUCCUCCGUCGUCACUCUCUCUUCACAAGAGAGACUCAGUGGCAACGAGCAAAGAAAACGGAGAAAGGGAGCAGCGACCGAAAAAAUUUCCAAGGCCCCAGGCUUUUCACGCCCAUGCUAUCAUCUUCCAACCCGGCGACACCAACCUCAAACCGCAACAAAGCUAGCUACAAAACAGAUCCAAGAACGACUCCGAAACAUCUCUGAAAUCAGCCACGAGAAUCAACCAAAAACGAGUCAUCUUCUCCACUAUCUUAAACACCUUGAAGCCUCCAUUAAAUAGCUCCGAAAACAGUCUCGAAACACCACAGAAAUAGCCCUGUCUCCGUCGUAAUUAUACCAUCUCCGACCAGCACCUUUUCCUCCAACAAACAGCUGCAAAACCAUCUUGAAAUCAGCCCCAACCCAGCUAAAGAAUAAUCCCAAACACCAUUAGAAACACCCGAUGAAGCAACUGUUUCAGUUUUUUCCGAGAUUCGCAGCACUACGAUAUUUCCGGUGAGGUAUCCUGUUCGAGGUUUUUCAGUCAAGCUCGAGUCCCUGCUCAUGUUCAUACGUUGUUGCUAUAAUUGAAGAGAGAUCUACUCAUUGAGGUCAAUUUGUCACCAUUUUUUUUGUUUCUUAUAUUUAAUAGAUCAUGCCUAAUCUUAUUCUACAUGUUUAUGUGGUGAUAUAAAACGUGCAUUUGUGAAUUUACGUUUGGUUGUUUGAUUCUUUGCAUCUGAUUCUCGUUAGUUUGAACUAAUUUUCCCUUUUGUUAUUGUUGAUUGAAAAAAUGGAGAGAUAUAACGAAAGAGAAGUCAGGCAAUGAUGAUUAGUUGAAAAUGUAUCGUGGGGAAUUGAAAUGCUAAAGAAAGCAAUUUGGACUAAAGAAAGAAACGUUUAUCACUUUCAUUAUUUCCUUUUGAUUAUUAGAAGCACAUUUAAGGUUGUUAACACAUGAAUAAGAAUUGAAUUUUCAUUUUAUUUAGUUCUAUUUUAUUUUGGGUUAUUUUUAUUGUCCGCUAGCUGCAUAUUUAGGCCGAUCACUUGGGUAGGUAAGCUUUAGGAUUUUUGUUAGUAUCGAGGCGAGAGGUCGUUCCCUUAGUUAAAUUUAUCCGGGGAAUGCCCCGAAGGAUUUGUAUAUAUUUUAUCCCGGGUAUGCCCUAAAGUAUUUGUAUUUGGAGGCCGAAAGUAGAACUCGCAGUACUUUAUUUUUAUUUUUAUUUUUUAUUAGGUGGGGACGACCCCGAGACUCGUGUGUGUUUAUUUUGAUUUUCCGUGUUUAUUUUUACCGUAAUUUGAAUAUUCUAAAAGCCAACUAGAUCGAGUACGCAACCGUGGUUUUCACGGGACUUGGGGAGUGCCUAACACCUUCUCCCCGAGUCAAAUAAAUUCUCUUACCCGAAUCUUUCGUGCAGACUUAGUUUUGGAGUCCAAAGUGUUUAAAAAGGAAAAAUUAUUUUUAUAAAAUGGUGACUGACACACCGAAAUCAAAUGUUAGGUAGCGACUCUGAAAACCCUUUUGAACAUAAUUUUGUCACUUUCGAAUUUGAAAACCCUUUUGAGCUUUACAAAUCCUUUUAUUAUUUUUAAGAGGGUUAGUGAGGUUUGUAAAAAAAAAGGGUGUGACAAUGCACAUAUAUCUCUAAUGUGACAUUCGAGUAUCAAGAGUUGCCUUAGCUCAUCAAGGACUUCCGCUCUAUCUUGUAGGUCAUGGUGAAUCCCAAACUCCUCCUCCUCUACUCUCCAUAUUCCAAGCUCACAUAGGAAUUUAGCACUCAGUUCAAAUUUAUGAAAGGUUCACUCAUCUCUCUCAAGAGAAUGUCACAAGUACUACUUCUGGUACCAGAAGCUUGCCCCUCAUGUAAAUCACCACUAAUGUAGUUCACUCGACUUGAAAACAAGUAGGACUUCUUUUGGGAUGUAAUGAAGGCUUUUGGAUUAGGGAUUGAUACAAUAUGGACAAGUGAUUAAACCUUCCUUAAGCACUCCAUCUUUCAAUUCUCGGCUCACACUUUACCGAUUCCUUGAGGCACUUUCUUUUCCUCGGGGGACUAGAGAGACUUAACAUCACUCUCUAUUGAUUAUUUCAUUCAUGUUUUUCCAUGUUUGAGAUCAUUUCCUUCCCUUGAAUCCCUUAAACUCUUUCAUAUAUUCACUUUUUGCAUUCUUCUUUUCGUUCUUUUCUUUUCUUUGACUUUUGUUCUCGUCAUUUCUUUUUCUAUUUUUGUGCCUUAAUACCUUUCUUUGAUUUCCUCGUAUCUCCCCCAAACUUACAUUUUUAGCCAAUUGUUUCACAUGAGUGUUAAGGAAAUCUCGAGUGCCAAGAGAGGGUUAUAGAACGGUUAAAGGCUUAACAUGGUUUUUAAAUUAGAAAGGUUAAAGGCUCGAAGGGGUUGACUAGGGAUGACAUUAUUGGUAGACAAUAGAAAACUCAAAAGGGCCAAGAAAAGCCUACAAUUACUUCUCAAGCCAAGCAAAACUUAUGAUUUCGCCUUAAAACAUGUUCGGGGCAAGUUCUAGACCUUCGCACAAGUACUAGGACUAGCAAUAAAGCAUCUCACCCCUCACGUAACUAGAUUUCUAAAGAGGAUAGAGUUGAGGGCCCACAACGAUCACAUUCAAGAUUGUAGAUCACAAUAGUCCAAUUAGACCACUCGAUGGUAUCAAAGUCAACACAAGAGUCACAAAGUCACUAACUAGAGCUAUUUCCUUUUAAAAAUCUUGUCUCUAACCAUAAGCACGUAGUUAAAUAUGUUGGUACCAAAUGAAGCAUGUUUGACUCUUCGAGUUUGACUUAAUCAGGUCUUUUUAUUCAUUAUUACUACUAUUACUAUCUAGACAUCAAAGAUGGACUCAAUCCCUUGAGAAGGUUGUCACGCCAUCCAUCAUUGGGAAGAGUCACCUGGUUCACACAAAAACUACCUUUGGAAAGAACCAUGACAUUAAGAAAACCAAAGGCUUAUUGUCCACUAAACAUAAAAAGAGGCUACUAAAUCAAAAAGAAGCUACUAAAUUAAAAAUUAACAAAUAAGAAAAUAAAAUAAAGAAGCUACAAAGCAAACUACUGAAAGCGUAACGAAUAUACAUAAUGAGAUAGAAAAAGUAAAUCAAAUAAACUCCACCCCCUCCCGAAUAAAAAUAAACAUUGUCCCCAAUGCUUAACAAAAUAUGAUUAAUGACGGUAAGAGUGAAGAAGACUCCCUAUGUCGCCUUGGACAUCUCUGUGCCCACAGCAGUGUCACCACCCUCAGUCUCCUCUAAUUAGAUCUCAUCAUCCUCAGCUCUGGGAGUAACUGGGAUGGUGGCGCAUCACCUCAGCAGUGUCGGCAAUCAGGUCUAUCUCCUCAAACAGGCCAGCUGGUGCCACUAGGACUGAUGGUGUUGCUGGUGCUGUCAAAGCUGAAUCCAUCAGCCUGUCAAAGGGAAGAUCUCUAGUUGCUUCAAUCUUUGUCAUCUCUCUCCUAAGCUUGUCAACUAAUUUCUUAGAAGCCUAGGACUUUCACCUUUUCUUGACUUCCUUUUUUUAAUAUUAAAUAGACUUUCCAUUUCAUCAAAAAAUUAUCUUUACAAAGCUAGGUUGAUGCAAACCAUCGUCCUCCUAAUUACGAAUACAAAAUUUAACUAUACUAGUUAUACUUCUAACAAAAUUGAGCCAUUAUUCUAGCCUAAGGGUAAUGAUUCAAGCCUUGCAAUUUUAACUGCCAUUUGCUUUUUGAUCUCCCUUGUAUGUGCAUGUGUAUUGCAAUUUUCCUACAAAUCACGUUAGUCUCAUAGUUACAUUUGUUGAAUCUGAUUGAGUUCCUUUCACGCCAAAUACAAUAUAUUACCAUGGCAAAAGCUGAGAUGGUGAUUGCUGCUAUACCAGUUUUCCUCUUGGUUAGGGUGCUUACCUAGUCUACCUCAGUUUGCCAGUUGUCUAUUCUUCUGUUAUGGCCCAGCCAGUUCAGCAUUCUUCUCCAUAGUAUGCUGGUGCAAGAGCAUUCAAAAGAUAAAUGACUAAAUGUUUCAAUGCUACGUGCACAGAAAGUACAAUCCAAUGGUACUUGGAUCACAAAUUUCUGCAGUUGAUCCACAGUAGCUAGCCUCUGAUGCAUAGCCAGCCACAAGUGGAAUUUGAACCUAGGAUGAAUCUGUGAGUGUGUUGAUACCCAAUUUUUCCCUCAUAUAUUUUGAAAUACAUAUAUACUUUCAAAUAGUGCAUGAGUAUCAACUAGUAUGUUUUCAUAAUUUUUUGUAAUUUUAAAAGGAUUUUAAUUAUUUUAUUCUAGCAUUUUAUUAUCCAAAUAAUUACUAAUUGCCUCACAAACGAUUUUAUGAUAAUUUUAUUGCUUAAUUUUAUUAUUUUAUAUUUAUACUAAGCUUUAAUUAUUUCAUGAAUUGUCAUAUGUACAUGUUAGAGUUAACAUUGCAAUAACAGCCCCAUGUGUGCAUAAUUACCUUAUUUUACAAAAAAAUAACCUUUUGUAUUUUUAUAAUAUUAAGUAAUUAUUUAAAUCAUUUUCAUGCAUAAAAAUAAUUUUUAUAAUUUAAUUAACUAUUUUCACAAAUUAUUUUAUUAAUUAAUUGUGUAUUUAACAAAUAGCCUCUUUAAUUUUUGUUUAAUUUCGGACCUAGCCCAAAACUACCCUAGCCCAUUAAAAUAUAAUCCAUAACCCAAUAUCCAAAUAACCCGCCCCAACCCGAAUCCAGGCGUUGAUCUCAGAAGAUCAACGGUCCAGGAUUCAUUUCCUUUUUUAUUAACAAAACGACCCCCAAACCCUACCCAUUCUCAAAUACCACCGCCCCCAAAUCCCUACCUCCUCUCUUCUCUCUCAAUCUCUCCCUAACCCUAGCCCGUCGUCACCUGAACUCCCCUUCAAUUCAUGGGGUUUCUCUUCGAUCUUAGGCCCUAUCCGACCUCUUAUCCCUAUUGGUUGUUCGAUCUCUUUGUUAUUUGAUGGAAUCUCAAGGGGAUUCAAACAGAUUUGGUUCAAAUCCCUCAAUCUUCUGAUGAAUCAAUCUACCUGAUUUCUGGGUUUCAUUUGUUCUGACCAACCCAUAAAUGGUCUCUGACUUAUUUCUUACCUUAUUAAAUCUCAUUUCUGUCCGCUAAUUGAUUUCGUAUGAGAUUUUUCCAAAUUUAAGGGGUCUUUCCGGAUCCUAUCGUGUUAAUUGAUUGAGUUUAGCCUUAAUUAACUGAUUGAAUGAUUUGCAUACCUUAUCUGUGAGCUCUUAAUUUUCUUUACCUUAUUUGUUCUACUCUGCUGAAUGUUAUAUAACCUCACCAUUCUGAUUUUUUAAAACACACGAACAUACACACUCAGACUCAAACAUCUAUACUCACAAGCACACACUGAUACACACUUACACAAUUUCAGUUUCUUUGAUUUAUUACAUUGUCUAGCCGGCUGAAAGCCAAGGCUAGACUCUUGGAUUUCAUUCAUCUUCACCUUCCUGUUUACUGCCUCUUAACUGGUAUGCCUCUAUUUCUGUUAUCAUGUUCUCUUCUAUAUGGUAUAUAGUUAGACUUUAACAUGAUUCAGUUUGCCCUAUAUUUUCCCGUUUAUUCUUAUCUUAACUAGUAUGUCUCAAUUCCUGUUACCAUGUUCUAUUCUAUAUGCUAUGUAGUCAGUCUAUUAUAGACCUCAACAUGUUUCUCUUUGAUUCAGGAUUUCUUGGUACUUCUUUCUAGAUUAGAGAGCUUUUGGUUCUUGCUAUCAUGUGCUAUAUGUUUGUUUGGUUAGUUAUUUCAAACUCCAGCAUGAUUUUGUUCAAUAUAUGUCUAUAUGAGUCCACCUAGUGAUAGUUAAUAAACUAAGUUAUAUGAAACCCUGUCUAAAUUAGUUGUAUGUUCC
rnacentral:lncRNA from 1 species